CUCGGAUCAGGUAGGGAUACCCGCUGAACUUAAGCAUAUCAUAGACCGGAGGA
rnacentral:rRNA from 1 species